UACGUAGGGGGCAAGCGUUGUCCGGAUUUAUUGGGCGUAAAGAGCGUGUAGGCGGCUAGAUAGGUCCGUUGUGAAAACUCGAGGCUCAACCUCGAGACGUCGAUGGAAACCAUCUGGCUAGAGUCCGGAAGAGGAGAGUGGAAUUCCUGGUGUAGCGGUGAAAUGCGCAGAUAUCAGGAAGAACACCCGUGGCGAAGGCGGCUCUCUGGCACGUGACUGACGCUGAGACGCGAAAGCGUGGGGAGCAAACAGG
rnacentral:rRNA from 1 species